GGGGCUGACCGGUUUUGACAGCAGGUACAGUUGGGAAGUAAGCACGUCGAGCUUUGUACGGGGGCUCGUAAAUCUCAACGUUCGACCAAUUAAAUGGCAAUACUAGCUAUGCACUCGCUGCGUAAUUUUCAAGGAAAAUUAGCUUAAUUUCUGCGCCCAAGGCUGGUGUAGAAACGAGUAUCCUACCGAUAUGAUCCGCUCCUUAUUGUGUCGGCAACAGGAUAUCAUCAAUUUGGAGAUAGUCUUGCGGUGAGUUCGGACCGUGAGGCGAAACAAACGAACUGGGCUUCGUGUUUGGCUGCUGCCUGCCUGAUGCGGAGAGAAGGAUAAAAUGGCAGCUAAGCGUGUAGAAAGCUUUUUGGCUGCUUGUUUG
rnacentral:tmRNA from 1 species